rnacentral:rRNA from 1 species
GUAUGCAUCGGGACCUACCUGAACGUGGGGGAUAACGUAGGAAACUUACGCUAAUACCGCAUACGUCCUACGGGAGAAAGCGGGGGAUCUUCGGACCUCGCGCGGUCAGACGGACCGAUGUUCGAUUAGCUAGUUGGUAGGGUAAUGGCCUACCAAGGCGACGAUCGAUAGCUGGUCUGAAGGAUGAUCACCACACUGGAACUGAGACACGGUCCAACUCCUACGGGAGGCACAUGGGGAAUAUUGGACAAUGGGCGCAAGCCUGAUCCAGCAAUGCCGCGUGUGUGAAGAAGGCCUUCGGGUUGUAAAGCACUUUUAUCGGGAGCGAAAUACUAUCGGUUAAUAACCGGUGGGGCUGACGGUACCCGAGGAAAUAAGCACCGGCUAACUUCGUUGCCAGCAAGCGGGUAAUACAAGGGGGGCAAGCGUUGUUCGGAAUUAUU